GACAGUGUCAUGGUCUGGAGGAUAAGCAAUUUCUGCCUUUCUGUCUCUCGUUCUCUCUCUCUCUCUCUCCCACGCCCCUCGGAGGAAGAAACACCUGAGCCUCAUUACUAUGGCCAGCAUUUAAGCCAGGGAGUGACUGCAGUUCUUCGCUGGAUCUUUAGUCCCUGGACUGUUUCCUGUGUGGUGAGUGUUGGAGAAAGAGACUGGUCGCAUGUGUGGAUUGUUUGAAGAAGAAGAAGUGCUUUUCCCCUGGAUUUCCCUGGAGCCCUGUCCCCUCACCUUUUUCCUGCGUGUGGGUCCUCCGUAACAGACAGGCACGGAGAUGGAGACAUGACGAGGAGACACGGCUGAUAGGGAAGACCGAGUGAACAUGGAGCACACAGACAAGAGUAACUAAACAUGAAACGUGGAACACAGGAUGGCAAGCUAAUAGAAACCUAAAGACUAGAACUGAGAAUAUAACAUACGCAGGAAACAAUAAUGAGAAUCAAAACCAUGAACAACAAUGAUCAAGGAAUGUAAGGAAGUCACUAUAAAUAUAUUUAUUUUCUUUGUAAUUAAGAUGCAGGCCUGAGUUUCUGAACUUUUUGUUGCUGUUUUUUUUAGUAUUUGUGUACUUUUCACAUAGCAGUACAAACAUGAUUUCACUGAAUAUGACUGUAUAUUAAACAGAAUAUAAAGCAUUUAAAAUGAGGUCAGCCUUGAAUGUCUGUACCUGUAAUACCGACCCACACAAUGAUGGUGAGGAACAUUUUG